rnacentral:rRNA from 1 species
GCUUGCUCCCUGAUGUUAGCGGCGGACGGGUGAGUAACACGUGGGUAACCUGCCUGUAAGACUGGGAUAACUCCGGGAAACCGCGGCUAAUACCGGAUGGUUGUUUGAACCGCAUGGUUCAGACAUAAAAGGUGGCUUCGGCUACCACUUACAGAUGGACCCGCGGCGCAUUAGCUAGUUGGUGAGGUAACGGCUCACCAAGGCGACGAUGCGUAGCCGACCUGAGAGGGUGAUCGGCCACACUGGGACUGAGACACGGCCCAGACUCCUACGGGAGGCAGCAGUAGGGAAUCUUCCGCAAUGGACGAAAGUCUGACGGAGCAACGCCGCGUGAGUGAUGAAGGUUUUCGGAUCGUAAAGCUCUGUUGUUAGGGAAGAACAAGUGCCGUUCAAAUAGGGCGGCACCUUGACGGUACCUAACCAGAAAGCCACGGCUAACUACGUGCCAGCAGCCGCGGUAAUACGUAGGUGGCAAGCGUUGUCCGGAAUUAUUGGGCGUAAAGGGCUCGCAGGCGGUUUCUUAAGUCUGAUGUGAAAGCCCCCCGGCUCAACCGGGGAGGGUCAUUGGAAACUGGGGAACUUGAGUGCAGAAGAGGAGAGUGGAAUUUCCACGUGUAGCGGGUGAAAAUGCCUAGAGAUGUGAGGAACACCAGUGGCGGAAGGCGACUCUCUGGU